rnacentral:rRNA from 1 species
AGACAGCAGCCGCCACGGUAAUACGUAGGGUGCGAGCGUUAAUCGGAAUUACUGGGCGUAAAGCGUGCGCAGGCGGUUGUGUAAGACAGGUGUGAAAUCCCCGGGCUUAACCUGGGAACUGCGCUUGUGACUGCACAGCUAGAGUAUGGCAGAGGGGGGUGGAAUUCCACGUGUAGCAGUGAAAUGCGUUGAGAUGUGGAGGAACACCGAUGGCGAAGGCAGCCCCCUGGGCCAACACUGACGCUCAUGCACGAAAGCGUGGGGAGCAAACAGGAUUAGAUACCCGAGUAGUCCCUGUCUCUUAUAC